GACCACGUGGCCUAAUGGACAAGGCGUCUGACUUCGGAUCAGAAGAUUGAGGUUUCGAGUCCCUUCUUGGUUG
rnacentral:tRNA from 1 species